GCAUAACGUCGCAAGACCAAAGAGGGGGACCUUCGGGCCUCUUGCCAUCAGAUGUGCCCAGAUGGGAUUAGCUUGUUGGUGAGGUAACGGCUCACCAAGGCGACGAUCCCUAGCUGGUCUGAGAGGAUGACCAGCCACACUGGAACUGAGACACGGUCCAGACUCCUACGGGAGGCAGCAGUGGGGAAUAUUGCACAAUGGGCGCAAGCCUGAUGCAGCCAUGCCGCGUGUAUGAAGAAGGCCUUCGGGUUGUAAAGUACUU
rnacentral:rRNA from 1 species